rnacentral:misc_RNA from 1 species
GAUGAAGAACGUAGCGAAAUGCGAUAAGUAAUGUGAAUUGCAGAAUUCAGUGAAUCAUCGAAUCUUUGAACGCACAUUGCGCCCGCUAGUAUUCUGGCGGGCAUGCCUGUCCGAGCGUCAUUUCAACCCUCAAGCCCCCGGGCUUGGUGUUGGGGAUCGGCGAACCUCCGCGCCCGCCGUUCCCUAAAUCUAGUGGCGGUCUCGCUGUAGCUUCCUCUGCGUAGUAGCACACCUCGCACUGGGAAACAGCGCGGCCACGCCGUUAAACCCCCAACUUCUGAACGUUUGACCUCGGAUCAGGUAGGAAUACCCGCUGAACUUAAGCAUAUCAAUAAGCGGGAGGA